GGGCGGAGGGGGAUCGGGGUGAGGGUCCCGGCGGGUACCGGGGGCGCCGGGGGUCCCGCCGGAGCGGCGGUGGGGCCGCGGCGGUGCCUCCCCCCUCCCCUCCCCUCGCACAGGAUCUGGUCACAGAGACACCCAGCUGCCUGCCCGGGGAGUAGCGGCACUUGGGGAAGCUCACGUCACUGCAGAGCAGCAGCCCUUGGCCAGCAGGCAGACUGAAGCCAGACAAGAAAGGGCAGAUGCGUCUCCCCCUCGACAAGUCGCUGCAGCACCCACACAUGUUGGAAGCUCAGUGUCCUCCAUGGGAGAAGCGUUGCCAGCCCUUUCCUCCUCUGAUUCUCACAUGGGAAAUCCCGCGCUGGGAAAUGGCAUCAUGUCCACAGACACACCAUGGCCAGACAAGCAACAUCAGUGCCGUGUACCCAGGGGAGGAGAAGUCCUUGAUUCAGCAGACAUGACCAGGCCUGGCCAGAAAAUGGAUGUUGUUCCUGAAAGGCAGAGAGGGGACAAGGACAAACAGCUGAGCUGUUGGGUAGCAGCGUUGGGUCAGGCACCGCUCAAAGCGCAGCCCACACUGGCAGAGUGUGCAGACUGCUUGGGUUUUCUACAAAAAUGCCUUUUGACAGAGGUGUCCCUGCUCUGAGGGGCCCAAGUGGGGCUCACCAAAGGUAUUUGCCGUGCUUUAGACCCCAGGACAAUGUCACCCCAUCCCAGCCAAGCAAGCAGAAGCUGGGGAGCUUCCCUGUUGCCAAGCUGGAUCGCUGGUGAGGAAAACAUGUCCAACCUGCUGGGUAUUCCCUUGCGCCUCCUUUCCAAGCAUUAAAAGUGCUAAUUAAACCA